AGACUACAGCUCCCAGGAUGUACGGUGAUGGC
rnacentral:piRNA from 1 species